CCAGACACCCACAGCCACAGAGGGGGUUGCUGAGCUGCCUGCAAGAGUAUACUGUAAAUCUUCAGCGCAACAAGCCUGCAGUCACCCCUUUUCUGACUCCUUAGCCCUACUGCGGUUCCCCAGAGGGACCGCUGGAGCCUUGGGCUAUUAGCAUCAAGAGCAAAGGCAGAGCCUGCUUGCGGAGACAGUGUCAGAUCACACAUCAAGCUCACCAGAGGAUUUGGAGGAUUGUAUGUAAAUUGAAAUAAAUUCUCCAAAGCCUGACUGCAUAUAUUAUACUGGUGUAGUGUAGCCAGGUGUGCAGUCUGGAAUAAUGGCUAGCAGUGAACCAGGAGAGUCUACUAAAGACAGGAGAGCAAUUCCCCAUAGGACACAUUUUAUUUUUAGAUUAGAGGAAGGAUUAAAACACGCUGUCUAUAAUACAACAUUCAAAAGCGAGUGGAAGGAAAACUGGGGGUGGAGGCCACAUGACUUUGGGUUUUAGUAGGACAGCCAGCAUAUCAACACAUCACGUGACUGGUCAGCCUCUUCCUUCACCUAGCCACAAUCACUUUUUGUAACUCCCCUGCCUCAUCAUGGACAGUGUUUAAACUCCAUUAUAACAGUUCUGAACCCCAAUGGAUGCUAACAGCAAGGAUCAUCAAAGCGCAGUGCAUAGCCUGCUGGCUGCCCUUGGACUCUCAGAAGUUUGUUGGAGUUCUUGAUUAGAGUAGAGGGGCAUGCUAUCAAAACUUCAAAAUGUGCCAAGAGAGUGGUAACAACGCUUGAGAAAGACAGCCACCUUGGAGGCAACAGUCAAAGAGUUAAUGACUGGUCCAGUCGAUUAAAAAAAAAAGGAAAGAAAGAAAUGUCUCUUUACAUGUUUCUUCUGUUUCUUUAAAUCCAGACUGCAUUUAAGAAUUCACGGCCUCGGUCCCCAGCUCCGAAAAAAAGAACCAAAAAAAAAAAAAAAAAAAAAAAAAGAAUUCACAGCCAUCGUUAUUUUCCAGAGAGAGAGAGAGGUGGGAGGGGGGGGGUAUUAACUUUGGCAUACUGAAAAAAAACAGGCUUUAAACAAUAUUGUUAAAACCUGGCCAAUAAGAAGAGUCCAAUUACACAACAUGAACUUUAAACUGGGAGCCUUGCUUGCCGAAGUUCUUUUCCCUUUAUCCCUAGAUGGAGUCCUUGCUCAACACCAUGUUUUCUAAAUGUCCACUUGCAUCAUCAUAAAUGAUGAUGAAAAUAGGUACCAGGGUGGGUAUUUUUAAGCACGUUGUAUGUGGGCCGCCAGCAACAGACCAGGGGAAAUGCCACAUUCUGUUCUAGUUACUUUUUCUGCUCUGUUUUUUAAGCGUCUUUGUUCUUGCCUUUUCAUAUGGACCCAGUUAUGUGUGUUUUAGGAGUUGAGAGCUAAGGGGUUAAAUUGUUUUCCCCAAAAUUAGAAAAUACGAGUUAGCCAGCCAAAAGAGCACCUGGGCCUAAACGAGUCCACCAUAUUCUUCAGUACUUCAGGGCUCUAAUCUAGACAUUCAGGAAUCCUGGCCUAAGGGACAGAGAUUACUAGCAGCUUCUAGAAUGAGUCCUGAGAGUCUAAGCACCACUGUUUAAUGAAGAAACAGUCCUCUAAGGAGCCUCUGAGGCUUUCUGUCUCUAAUAUGAUGUUAGUCAUGAAGACUACAAGGCCCUUACUUCCCGUUUACUUGUGAAAAUCACUGCUAGGUAACACUUAAACCCUUUGCAAUUAAAAAAAAAAAUCACUUGAUUAGCAAUGUUUCUCCUGACUGAAUUAACAAAUGGAUUGUUUUUGAGACAUAAAUGAAGCAAAUUCAAGUUUAUUAACAUAAAGUGGGCAUAACUUAUUAGCUUAUUGAUCCCCACUUAGUGUGGUUUUACCCAAUAAACUGAGUAUCAAAGAUCAAGUAAAUAUUUGUUUCUCUCCUGUUAAUAGAACAGUGAUUUUUUUUCCUUUUGAAAUUUCUGAAAGUGUAAAGAACCUGAGAAAAAAAGCAUUGGUGGAAUAAAUUUUUAUAUUAUCCUCCAAGAAAAUGUUCACCCGACUGCAAACCAAAAACAAUAGAGAAGAAGCAAAGUUUCAGGUUGUGGACCUAAGAGGAAUAUUGAAGGAAUUAACCACAAAUGCUUGGUUUAAAAGUUGUCAUUAGCAUUAAGCCCCUUGAUUAGAAAGAGGUUUGGUUACUAUGGUGCUGUAAUCAUGCAGUGUUCUUCACAAGGGAGACACCUUCUCUGUGUCUGACACUUAGCAAGAACCAUUUUGUUGCGAGAACUUCAUGCUGAUUUUUUUCUUUAACUAAUAAAUGUCAUUAAAAUCGUGUUCAUAUUUUGGAUCUGGGGACUUGUAAAAAUGAAUAUAAGCUGAGUGUUUAAAAUUCAUGAAGCCCACCAGAAGUUGAUUUUAAUCCAAUCUGCACUUUGAUCUUGUUGAUAAUCAAAAUGAACUGUCUUCCAUGGAGCAAUGAUGGUCUUUACUCUUCUGUCGUUUAAACUUGAACUGCCUUUUCUCCCCACACUGAUUUGUAUGUACAAGCAAAACUUGAGUGUCCUUGCAUACUCAGUCUCUGAAAGUGCGGUUAGCUUCUUCGUGUCCAGAAGCUGCUUAGCUCAGAAGAAAGAGCAAAGGUCCCCACUCAACCUUCCCAACCUUUUAUUAUCCUAUCCCACUUAAUCAACUCAGUUUCUUGAUGUGUUAAUAUCAAAAGGUUCCAGGAGGUACCUUUCAGCUCUCAGGAGCUAAUUUCCUCAUGUUCUCAAGAGGUUUUUAAUCUUCUCCAUAAAGGACAAACAGUUUGAGCUUGGGAGACAAGCUCAGUGAGUAUUGUGCCUACUUUGCAAACACAGAGACCUAAGUUGGAUUCCCCAGGACCUAUUGCAGUUGGGCAUAGUAGCAUAGACUUGUAAUUACAAUAUGGAGGAAGCAGAGGUGAGGGAGUUCAGGGCCUCUCUGGCUAUUCAGUCUACCCUACAUGGCAAGUCCUUGGGCAAUGAGAGACAAUUAUCAAAAUAAAAUAAAAGGGGAACCAUGUUUGAAGAACAACACCUCUGGCCUCCACACACAUGCACACACAUGUUCACAUGCACAUGAACACACACAUGCAUACACAAACACACACACACACACACAAAAUAAAAUACAAUUUAAAAAUUUAAGGAGGAAAAUGACAGUAUAAAAACUGUUCGGGCUAGUUAGUGCACAGGAGACAGUAAAGCAGCUGCUCCUCUGGCUGUCAAGAAGACUGGUUAGGGCAGGAAUAUGUUUCUGAGGACCACACACAACUAAAGACCCCUGCAAGGCAGAAGACUCUGCUCCCCAGCUGAAGUGGCGCCCCCAUGUGGCAACAGAAAAACAGCCUUUUGAAAUACAAAAUGGGGCUGAUUGGAUGAGCAUCUCCAGUUGUGCGAACCCAUACUACAUCACAGUUACUGGUAGUUCUGUAUUCCACAAGUUUAAAUGUUUUAUGACAUUUACCCUGAGUCUUCUCUGAAGAGUUUCAUCCAAAAUGGGUCACCUUUUCUAUCAGAACCUUCCUCAUGAUCUUGAAGGUAAAAGACAGAACCUUUAAGGAAUGGAGCUUCCAGUUUUCCAAACAAAAUUAAUACCUUGAUUUAACUGUGGGCUGUCCAACUUUUGAGACAUCAGCCUGAAUAGAAGGGUCCCGUGAAUCUGAAUAUGUCUUUUUAAACCACCUGAAAGCUGCUAAAGUUUUUUUUUAAUAAAACAUCUAAUGUACCAGUACAUUGGCACAUAUUGCAAGUCCUAAGGAAGUCAUGCAGCCGUGCUGAAGGGAAAACUGAAUAAGUCUCUGUACAAAAUGAGCCUCUCUAGAUGGAAAAUAGAAGAAGGAUUGCUGAAAUCUAUGGUAAAAAAAUUCCCUGUAACAGCAUUCAGUGUUACAUGCAGAGUGGAGAGCACAAAGUAUUCAAGAAAGUUCUGUCUUUCUGUGGGGGUUUCUACUGCUAGGUUUAAACUCUUCAGUGUUCACUCUGGGCCCUUCGGUUUGCGAUCUCUAUAAGAAGGCUCCAUAAAAAGCAAAGUAUGUAUCACAGAAAUGUUUAUGGUGUAUUUAUGAAAGCCGCAAAUAUAAUAUAGACCAAAGUCUACAGACAGAAAUUAACCGGUUAACUUCCUGGAGAUUUUUCUGUUCGACUUUUGUCCAGUACUUGAAAAAAAAUGGGAUAGUGAAUUUAUGAAAAUAGUAGUCACCAAAAAUGUAAGUUUCUCAGAUGCUUGCUUUUAGAUGCAUAUGAGAGGGAAAGCAAUAAUAAUAAUAAUAAUAAUAAUAAUAAUAAUAAUAAUAAUAGCAGCUUCUCGCCACUGUUCCUCUAAGUGUCUUGUUUUAGCUCAUGGAGUCAUGAAAAUGCCCACCAUAUAAGCAGUGUUAUUGCCUCUUCCAUUAGGAAAACUGAGGCUCAAACCAGCUAAACAUCUGAGGGCAGAGUCAGUUAAUUAGUAAAUGGCACAGUUGGAAUUCAAAGCCAAGCAGUGUCCCUCUGUCUCCUGAACAUUAAAGAUUGUGGCAUGCCAUUCCCUUCAAGAUAAGCUCAGCGUAAACUACCGAGCUGUGUAACUGACAUUCGUUACAUAAAUGAUGAGGUCAGUGUUAGGACCAAUAGUUGAGAUCCUGAGAAUGGAGCCAGCUCACCUUGGACUCUACUCUGAUCCAAGCGACAGUUUCUGCAUAUGACUUAAUGUUAUCAGAGUGUUUGCUGAAUGAAAUGAUGUGGAUAAAUUAAAAUACAAUGGAACCCUGAGAAAAGAAAUCACUUUUAUGAAGCAACGAGAAAAAUAGGAGGGGAAAGUACAGUAUUAUCCAUCCUAUGUUGAGGAUAUGAUUCGAAGAGUUGACUAGAAUUUGUUUUCAUACAAAAUAAGCAGUCUAUAUCUUAGGAAUCUUGACAUUUGAAUGCAUCAUUCAUAUAUACAUAAUAUACUAUAUAUAUACACAUACACACACACGUAUAUAUAUGCAUAUAUAUAUAUAUAUAUAUAUAUAUAUAUAUAGAGAGAGAGAGAGAGAGAGAGAGCGUGCCUGGAGUUAUAUUACAACUCAAAAUCGUGUGGUUUAAAUGGUGUCUGACUUCUUUAAACUAUGAAGAAAUCCACCUCAAAGACACCCUCCUACAGGUAAUAAUGUAAAGUCACACAAAGGUAUAAAACAUCCUCACUCAUUCUUCCACCCUUUUCUUCUAUUCCACUCUUGCAGCUUUUAAAUACUUUAAUCCCCUAUCUUUCAUUUAAUAAAACAUCCUAUUUAUCCCUUUAAAUAUUUCUGGAUCACAGAUUGUCCCUUACAUGGUAUAUAAAUGUUUAGCAAUAUAGCUCUUUAAGCAAGGCAAAUGCCUUAUAUUUUAGUACAAAUGAUCAUUGUAAAUGGGUUGAUAAAGAGAAGUUAGAAUCUGAUCUCAGAAUGUGAUCUAGGUUUUCUCCAUAUUUAAUCUCCAUAUGUAAAUACCACUGGUAUUUGACUUACAUACCUGCGUUUGAGUCUUUGAAGCUAAAUUUGAACUACAGUGACUUCAUACUUUUAAUAACAAUCUAUGGUAUAUAGGUUUGGAGAAUUACUAUUCUGGUCAAAGAUUCAAUAUGUGUGUGUAUAUGUGUGUGCACACACUCGAGUAUGUGCAUGUGAGCAAAUGUAAUAGUGGUGAAAAUUAAUAUUGCUUAACUUUCAAACCUCACUGAAUUUCUUUAUGAUACAUACUUCCAAUUGUUAGCCUGUGUAUCUUUUUAUCAUGAAAUGAAGAACAGCAUUCUUUCCUGGUCCAUCAUUUCCUCUUCAAAGACACAAGCAAGAAAUCACCCAGGCUUGCCCAUCCCAUGGCACUAAGACUGUAAUGAUUCUCCUCUUUUUAAUUUUAGAAUUACCUAUGAACACUCUGCCAGUGUGAUAGCGUUCUUUUCUUUCUCUGUGCAGUCUCUUCUGACAGCAUACAUUCCACGCCCUCACCCAGGCUCAGAGAUGCUCUCGUGCUUUGAAGUUAGAGGAAGAGCAUCUCUGUACCUUCCAAUCCCAGGGUCAGGAGUUACUCUUGAAAGUCAAACUGCUGAACUUUUACUAACACACCUUUUUCUUGGCCAUUAAAAAUAAAACAAGACAACAACAAUAACAACGAAACAUUAUCUAGUACAAAAGCGACAGUUUUUCAAACAGAGGGGCUUGCUGUGAAUGUCUGCUGGUCUUAGAAUGGUCCCUGGGACUCACACAGAGGGAAAAAGUGAGACUGAUUCUACAACAUUUUCCUCUGACCUCCACGGACAUGCCAUACAUGCCCAUCCAUAUACAUCAUGCAGACACACACACACACACACACACACACAUACACACACACACACACACAUUUAAAACAUCAUUCUAUGUUAUAAUGAUAUAUAUAUAUAUAUAUAUAUAUAUAUAUAUAUAUAUAUAUAUAUAUAUAUAUAUAUCAAAAGCCCGAAUACAGCAAUCUAUUAGAAAUUCUUUAAAGUUAAAUAUGCUGGGUCUUUUUAAAAACUUAAUACACUAAGCGCUGUACAAGAUGGGGGUGAAGAGAGAACCAGAAGUGGUUUAUGACCAAACAGUAGGUAUGAAGUCUGUGCCUGGGGGAAAGGAAAUAAAGUAAAACUUCGCUCAAAAUAACUACACAUAGAGCAUCAACCAGUUCUGACCCUGAAACACUCAGUCUUACGUGGGAUGUCUCCAUCAAAUCCCUCCCCUCAGAGCUCGGGGAAUCCCGGAGAACAGGAAGUGGAAAUAUGGUAAGAGCCGGAGAGGAUGGAGGACCAAGGAAACAAGGUCCUCCUAACCUACAUGAUCAGUGCUCUCAUGAACUCACAUGCCCUGAACAGGCCUGCUCCAUGUCCUCCACGUGGCUGCUCCAUGUCCUCUACCUGGCUGUUACUGCUUCCAGCUUCGUGUUUUCAUGCAGUUCCGGAGUUUGCGAAUGAGUGCGCUUCUGACGCUUGUGCUUUUCCCUCAGCUCUGCUCCUUCUGAUGGUUCGGUCCAGUUUCCGAUGUGUUCAUUUUCGUUUUAUCUUAUCCUAUUGUAUUUUAUCUUGUGAUUUAAAAAAAAUGAAUAAACAAGAUAAAAUGACAGUCUCUGGAACUGAAAGAAACUUUCCACUCCACAUCAGUCUGGGAAAACAAGUAACCGGACAGCAGACAUUUGGGGCUGUUACCAUAUUAAAAUGUGGAUGAUCACCUCACCAAAUAGGAUGAAUUCUCUUAAUAGAAUAGAAUGCAGAAUUGAUCUAGUGAGUAACUUUGCCUGGGAUUUUCAUUUCUGUCACUUUUUUCUUUAGUGCCACCUUGUGGGUUAGAUAGUAACAUAUUUACAAGAGAGGCUUCAGUUUGGAGUCUGGUCCCUAUCUAUCCAUCUAUCUAUCUUUCUGCUGUAUUAAAUCUAGUAUUAGAAAAUAUCAUAGUAAAUGAUGUGAAACUAUCCAACCCCCUCCCCUUUUUCCCCUAAAAGAAACAGCCACUUCACUGAAAGAUAUUUGCCACAACUCUGCAAUCAUCCAUUCAAGACACCAGAAUAAUUUCUCAGAGAUUGAAAAUAUUGGAGUCUACACACACAAAAAAUCGAUGUUCAUUUACAGGAUAAUCAUCAAACUUAUCUAGGAUAGCAUAAGUGGCAAGCUCUACCUGGUGAUUUUUUUUCCAUAAGAAAGAUAAAAUGUUUUUUCUUAACUCGUGAUCAUCAUUUCUACAAUGGUGGCCUAUAGGAAUUGAUUAUAGGGGUUCUGAAGUGCUGCCUAAUCCUGUUUUCUAAAAGCUCCCAUAUCUGACUCAGUCAGUAUGCACUUACUUCUGGCAUCAGAUUGAAUGAAUUUACAUUGAGUUACCUUACUCGAUUUCUUCUGAAAUUAUGCUCCAGUUAUAAAGAGAAUAAGAAAAGAGGCAGGAGAGUGUGCGGUGAUGUCUUUUUUAAUUGAGAAACACAGGGAAGAUGUUAGGCUCCCUAACAUCCUCUAUGUAUUAGAGAUGCUAUAAUAAUCUUUUAUCUAGUGAGACAAACAGGAAUGGUUCUACCCGAACAUUCUGUCUUUAUAGCUAAGUCUGUAUGUGUGUCUAUGGGUGCGUGGUGUGUGGUAGAGAAACACGUUUUGAAAUUGCAUUGAUGAAGUCAUUUGAGGACAAGAGGAACUAGUAUGUAAAGCAGUCACCUUGACACCCUGAGUAGCUAAAUAUUUGCAUUUGAACUCUUGCCCUACUUUAAGAGUUGAAGGUUGUAACAUAUUAUUCAGAAAGUAAUUUUUCCUAGGCAUGGCCACAAGGUUGCAGACUGACCAAUCAUCUAAAUGUUAUCUAUGUGGCUAAGGCAUAAGUAACAACAAGAAGUUAAAUAUGUUUACAGAGUUACUAAAAUCAGAUUAUAGAAAUAGUCAAAUUCUACUUGUCAUACUGCCAAACCCUCAGAAUUUCACUCCCUGGUCAUUUUUAACAUGGAGGUCGUUUAUGUUUUAUCUCAGUAAGUGAUAGGUUGUUACUUCCAACUCAGGGAAAGGUAUUUUAAUCGUUAAUCUUGAAGUCUUUGGAUAUUUGAAUCUCUCCCUGACGUUCUGACAAACGUAGUCUCUCAGGAAUUUGGUCCAAAAACAAAGCAAUGGAUUUCCUGAAAUGGCAACAACGAAUCUGUCUUCCUCCAUUCUACCUUCCGAUGUCCACCACUGGACAGGUUCUGUCGCUUGGAAUUUCAUCUAAACAAAUAUAUCAGCAAAGGGACACUCUCUCGCCUAAGGACCACAUGUUGUCAAUUAUUCUCUUGUGCUUCAAUUUCAGCCUUAAUAAUAAAAGUAUGUGUUCUUUCACCACAAACUGGGUAAACUUUUGUAUAGUCUUCUCUAGAAAAUUCCUUGUUCCUGUGCACAGCUGGAGGAAUAGCAGCCACAGUCAAGACAAAUAAGAGAUAUGACCAUCUGAUGCAGUGCCUUAAUCCAAUGACAAAUUUCAUCUCUGUACUUUCAUAACAUUCUUAUCAUCCAUGAGGACUUUGAAAUAAGUUCCAAGAAGCAGAACUGCGUUCUAUCUUACUCCGUUACUGAUUUAAAUUAAGCAGAUCCAAAUUAAUUGGGUCACAUUAGCUAGCCACAGCCUUCUCCUUUAAUGUCCGACGGCUUAUACGCUUGCCUUCCGGUUCUUCUUGAAACUGAGACUGCAUCAGAUAUUUUCUUGACAUUUCUUGUGGAUUUCAUUUUCAGUUUCUAAGGGCCAUUUAUUCCUUUAAUCCUCCAAUGUUAGGAGGUAAUGAAUAUUGAUUCAUAUUCAGAAGUUCUAACAUUCAACUAGGUAAACUCAGUAAGGAAUGGCUACCUGUGUUCUAUUUUGUCUUCUAGACAGAAAAUCAAACCCAUUUAAAGCAAAUGAUGCUUUUUGUGUCAAUGUAUGUCCAGAGGUUAACAUGAUUGCUGAUAACCACUUCCUAUGAUCAUCAGGUCAUAUACGGGGAUGUGUGUGACCUAUUUAUCUAUACCUAUCUAUGAAGACACAGACACAAGGAGAUGAAAAUGGAGAUGUGGGCUUCCUAUGUUUACAUAAGGGUUUUAUCAGUCUCUGUCUACCCUGAACUGUAACAAAAUGCAUGAGCAAUUCCUCGUGCCACCCUCUCCUUUUUAGACCUUGCCAGGACUGGUCAAAUUAAAGAGCCGAUGAUAAUCAUCCAAAUUGAUACUCUAGCACCACAAUUAUAGGAUCUUUUCUUUAUUUUGGUGAGAUUUACCUAUAGUAGUUCCCUGUUUAACGUUCAGUGUUCUGUAGCAAUUCUCUUUUAAACCUUCGGUUGCAGCGGCUACGUCUUCCAGGAAGUAUAAAUAAUCAAGUCUUAGCAAUAUUAUAAAACAUAAUCCAUGUUAUGAAUUGAGCAGAAUGAGCCCUCAUAUCGGGUUGCCUACGGCUCAAAAGUUAAUGCUGCCGAAACACCUUGUAUGUAUUAGCUAGGUGAGUGGAAUUACAUUAAAAUAGAGAGUGAGUUGUGGUCUGGACCGCAGUCAUACUACAUCGGUCUCUGCUUGUUUGUCCUGCCUUUAAUUAGGGAGCUUCAGAAUUCCCGAAUUUCUCCUCCUGUCUGUUUCUGCACCUCCAAAGAGGACCAAGCCUGGGUUUCCAGUUAUGAACUACUUCAUUAAAUUUUUUCCAGAAACGUAGGAUUCUUCACUUCUUUUCCAAGAGUCCAAGAUAACUAAAGCAGCACUUCCUGAGACAGAGGAAGGAAGGAGUUCCCUGCCUACCGCCCUUCAUCAUCCAUUCAGCGGUCUCCUCUGUCUGGUGUGUCUUGAUCACUAUUGGCCUCCGUUCUCUGGACUAAACGCUUAAACUGCUCCUGAAGUGGAGGUACUAAUGGGCCUCCAGCAAUCGUUCUUUUCCUGGUCUCAAGAUUUAAAUGCCUCACUUGAAGCCUGGAAAGGAGGGAAGCCAGGAUGUGAGCAUCUGACUUUGAAAAACGUCUCUGUCUUCUAACCCGUCUUCUUUUGCAUAGAGGAGUAGGAACAGUGCGCCACACAGAGACAUCGUUAAAGGCAAUGAAGCUUCAAAAAAUCUAAAUUCAGAUUGCCUUCUCUACAAUUAGAGUAGCUACCUUUCUCUGGCAAUGACAGGUAAACUAGAAAGAACUCUACACCGAACAAUUAUCUUAAAUCCUAAGCAACAAUCCCGAUAGACAUGUCUGAGAAACAAUGGCCCUGCCUCGGAUUUGACGAUGUAGUUUACUUUGUUGUUGUUGUUGUUGUUGUUGUUGUUGUUGUUGUUGUUGUUGUUUAAAUGUGGCUUUUUAAAAACCUGGUAAAUAUACUAAAUAGUCUUCGGUUUUCCCCUCAGUGUCACUCCAAUAGGAUGGUGACCAGGACAAGGGCAAUGACGACAGUAACAAAGAUAAUGGUCAAAAGAAUGGAGGGAGUGCAACUAGGCAGUGUCACGUGCACCUUUAAGAGAACCACCGUUUGCACUGCCGUUUCCUCCAAGUCUGUCAUGCUCAAGAGUGAAUCGCUGCAGCCCAUCUGUACAACACGGCGAUUGUUCCACAUGGCACCAUAUUCAAGCACAGCAGAUGAUACAGUUCCUGCAGUGAAGCUGCUUUCAGUAAUUCAUGCCUCUUCUCUGACGAGGACUCCAAGUGUUCUGUCUCAGAGUCUGCUCUACACCUUUCAACAGACCACAGUUUUCCCAGAAAGGAUCCGGAAUAUGUUUCCCAACUCACAUGUGUUGCGGUAAAAAAAAAAAAAUAAAAAAAUAAAAAAGAUCAUUUGCUAUCA